rnacentral:rRNA from 1 species
AUUGAACGCUGGCGGCAGGCUUAACACAUGCAAGUCGAGCGAGCGGCGGACGGGUGGGUAAGGUCUGGGAAACUGCCUGAUGGAGGGGGAUAACUACGGGAAAAGGUAGCUAAUACCGCAUACCAUCGGUUGGGCCCAGGUGGGAGUAGCGAGUAGGUGGGGGAAAGGCUCACUAAGGCGACGAUCCCUAGCUGGUCUGAGAGGAUGACCAGCCACACUGGGACUGAGACACGGUCCAGACUCCUACGGGAGGCAGCAGUUGGGAAUAUUGCACAAUGGGCGCAAGUCUGAUGCAGCCAUGCCGCGUGUGUGAAGAAGGUCUUCGGGUUGUAAAGCACUUUCAGCGAGGAGGCGUUACUCGCAGAAGAAGCAACGGCUAACUCCGUGCCAGCAGCCGCGGUAAUAC